UUCACAUCGACGGGGAGGCUUGGCACCUCGAUGUCGGCUCAUCGCAUCCUGGGGCUGUAGUCGGUCCCAAGGGUUGGGCUGUUCGCCCAUUAAAGCGGUACGCGAGCUGGGUUCAGAACGUCGUGAGACAGUUCGGUCCCUAUCCGUCGUGGGCGUAGGAAAUUUGAGAGGAGCUGUCCUUAGUACGAGAGGACCGGGAUGGACAUACCUCUGGUGUACCAGUUGUCGUGCCAACGGCAUAGCUGGGUAGCUAUGUGUGGACGGGAUAAGUGCUGAAAGCAUCUAAGCAUGAAGCCCCCCUCAAGAUGAGAUUUCCCAACUUCGGUUAUAAGAUCCCUCAAAGAUGAUGAGGUUAAUAGGUUCGAGGUGGAAGCAUGGUGACAUGUGGAGCUGACGAAUACUAAUCGAUCGAAGACUUAAUCAAAUU
rnacentral:rRNA from 1 species